CCAUCAAAAGCCAUCUCUGCAAGGGAGCUAGCACCCCGGGGAGAUUCAAAGACUUAGAUCGGUCCUCUGCCUCGUGUGGAUACCCGUAGUGGCCGGACGCGUGUGCGGCUUCAAGCGAACCUUCCAACAAAUCCACGAUCAUCAGAUUUGCGGUGAUCAUCUACCCGCACAAGGUGAAGAUCUGAUCUUCCUAAUCAUGCAG
rnacentral:lncRNA from 1 species